CCACCGUCACAACGGCUUCCUGGCGUGGCGGGUCGAUCCAACGGAGCA
rfam:Roseovarius sp. 22II1-1F6A contig7, whole genome shotgun sequence.